rnacentral:rRNA from 1 species
CGUAGGUGGCAAGCGUUGUCCGGAUUUAUUGGGUUUAAAGGGUGCGUAGGCGGCUUUGUAAGUCAGUGGUGAAAUACUCCAGCUCAACUGGAGAGGUGCCAUUGAUACUGCAGAGCUAGAGUACUGAUGAGGUAGGCGGAAUGGACGGUGUAGCGGUGAAAUGCUUAGAUAUCGUCCAGAACACCGAUAGCGAAGGCAGCUUACUAAAGAGUAACUGACGCUGAGGCACGAAAGUGUGGGGAUCAAACAGGAUUAGAUACCCUGGUAGUCCACACUGUAAACGUUGAUCACUAGAUGUUGGCGAUACACUGCCAGCGUUCCAGCAAAAGACGAUAAGUGAUCCACCUGGGGAGGUACGCCCGCAAGGGUG